CUUGGCUCGCGGGAGGUCAGGAGCAGGACAUCCAGGUCAUUCCCCUCUCUGCAACAAGCUCAAGAGCUCAAAAUGUUGCAGGCCAAUGUGAUUCCUUCUCUUCAUUAGAUCAAGUCCAAAGAUGUCUUGGGACAGAUUUUGGGUGUUUCUAAGUUGGGCCAUGUUUGCAUGUCGACUAACACAUCCGACACUUCUUAGUGGCUUUAUCGCUCUCUUAGAGAUGACAGG